CAAAACAUAGCUGUCUGGCCGCGAGGCCGUGACGCCUUCAAACCCUUUGUGAACCAAAAAACCUUUCGCUUCGUGCAGCCGGGUCCGGUUGGGAACAGCCUGUCCUGUCAGCCUGCCGUUAGCACCAAUCUCAAAAACUUGCAGUCAAACAUUGUCUGAACACCAAAUUUUCUGAGUGAAAAUCAA
rnacentral:misc_RNA from 1 species